UACGAAGGGUGCAAGCGUUGUUCGGAAUUAUUGGGCGUAAAGCGCACGUAGGCGGCUGUGUAAGUCUCACUGUGAAAGUCCGGGGCUCAACCUCGGGAUUGCAGGGGAUACUGCACGGCUUGAGACAAGUAGAGGUUGGUAGAAUUCCAGGUGUAGCGGUGAAAUGCGUAGAUAUCUGGAGGAAUACCCGGUGGCGAAGGCGGCAUCCUGGACCCGGCAUUGACGCUGAGGCGCGAAAAGCCAGGGGAGCAAACGGG
rnacentral:rRNA from 1 species